UUAAGCCAACGGACUAAUGUGAUGUUAGUGGUUUGCAUAAACUAAAAGUACAUAUCAGAACUGUAGUAGAAGCAUUUUGGUUCAAAUACUCUUCAUCCUGAUAGGAAAUUCAGAAAGCAUACCUCAAGUUUUUUGAUAGAGGCAUAGUCCUCUUAUUAGAUAAAGCUAAUAUAAGUAAACAAUUAACAAUUAGUUUGCUUAAAGUUCAUAUUCUGUGAAUCACGUAAGCUAAUUCCUCUUUUUUACCCAGAAGGCCAGAAACUCUUUACAUGGGAGAACUUUUACCUAAAACUUUUGGUGUUAUUAAAUAAUUUGGCAGGAUGAUUCUUGAAACAGAUGGUAGUGUCAUUGCUGGCAAAGUUGCUAGUCAUAAUAUGGAUGAUGGGUCACCCAUUUCCGAGCAGACAAUCAGUCAAGCUUUGGCAACGGCUCGUGAGCAUUUUACAAGAUCGCUUCUCAGAUGAAGCAUCUCAAUGCUUGUGAAAAGAGAUUAAUUGACUUCAUUCUUUAGAAGUGUUUGUCCCCAAAAUUUUUAGUUGGUUUUUCCUCGGGAUGGAAAUAUUGUCCAUCCUUUUAAGUCGAUUCAUGUUUUAAGUUCAUAUAGAAUAUCUUAUUUCUGUUAGUUUUAAGCCUUUUACUCCAAAUGUCAUUUAGGCACUUGCAGUAGGCCAGCCAAUAGUGAUAGAGGUUUUGACAAUUUUUAAAUUUUUGUGCUCGUUACUGUGCGGUCCAGGAUUUUCUUUUCCGUUUCUUAGUUCUUGUGAUAGAACCAUGCUACAUUGCUACCUAAUGCCAACGGCUGAUUCUGUUUGUCCGUAAAA